UGGAAUCAUACAGUAUUUGUCCUUUAACUGGCCUAUUUCACUAGCAUAAUGUCCUCAGAGUUCAUCCAUGUUGUAGCAUGUGUUAUAAUUCCCUUCCUUUUUAAGGCUGAAUAAUAUUCCAUUGUAUGUAUAUACCACAUUUUGUUUAUCCACUCAUAUGUUGAUGGCUUCCACCUUUUGGCUUUUGGGAAUAGCGAAUGCUGCAGUGUACAUGGCUGUACAGCUUAUCUGUUUGAGUCCCUGCUUUCAGUUCUGGGUAUAUAUCAAGAAGUAGUUCUGGUAUCUCUUCAUAUGACACUGAGCCUGUCAGAACAAGGCCCCACUCCAAUGACCUCACUUAGGUUAAUUACCCCUUUACUUCAAAACAGCCACAUUGGGGGUUAGGGCUUCAACAUAUGAAUUUGGGGAAGACACAGACAUUCAGUCUAUAAUAAUGUUCACUUUUUUUCCUCUAGACUGUAACCCUCUUGAGCACAGGAUUAUGUGUUUUUAUUCAUCUUUGUUUCCUUAGCACAGUAUAUGGAAUAUAGAUGCUACAUCAGUGUCUGUUGAACCAAACUAAUAACUUAGAAAAGUUAAUGAAAUACAUUACUUUUCUUGGAAAAAAAAAAAGCCAAAAAUUAGCUAAGAGGUAGAAAACCAAAAUGAGAGAGAAAAUUUAAAAACAAUGUAUCAAAUACAUCCCCAGAAGACUGUAGGGCCCUUAAGUUUUAUUAUUGAGUUCUUUUAAACUUUGAAGAAACAGUUAC
rnacentral:lncRNA from 1 species